rnacentral:rRNA from 1 species
ACUGCCCAGUCGAGGGGGAUAACAGUUGGAAACGACUGCUAAUACCGCAUACGCCCUACGGGGGAAAGGAGGGGCUUCGGCCUUUCGCGAUUGGAUGUACCUAGGUGGGAUUAGCUUGUUGGUGAGGUAAGAGCUCACCAAGGCGACGAUCCCUAGCUGUUCUGAGAGGAUGAUCAGCCACACUGGGACUGAGACACGGCCCAGACUCCUACGGGAGGCAGCAGUGGGGAAUAUUGCACAAUGGGCGAAAGCCUGAUGCAGCCAUGCCGCGUGUUGAAGAAGGCCUUCGGGUUGUAAAGACUUUCAGCGAGGAGGAAAGGUUAAUACCCUGUGACGUUACUCGCAGAAGAAGCACCGGCUAACUUCGUGCCAGCAGCCGCGGUAAUACGAGGGGUGCAAGCGUUAAUCGGAAUUACUGGGCGUAAAGCGUACGCAGGCGGUUUGUUAAGCGAGAUGUGAAAGCCCCGGGCUCAACCUGGGAACUGCAUUUCGAACUGGCAAACUAGAGUCUUGUAGAGGGGGGUAGAAUUUCAGGUGUAGCGGUGAAAUGCGUAGAGAUCUGAAGGAAUACCGGUGGCGAAGGCGGCCCCCUGGACAAAACUGACGCUCAGGUACGAAAGCGUGGGGAGCAAACAGGAUUAGAUACCCUGGUAGUCCACGCCGUAAACGAUGUCUACUCGGAAUUUGGUGUCUUGAACACUGGGUUCUCAAGCUAACGCAUUAAGUAGACCGCCUGGGGAGUACGGCCGCAAGGUUAAAACUCAAAUGAAUUGACGGGGGCCCGCACAAGCGGUGGAGCAUGUGGUUUAAUUCGAUGCAACGCGAAGAACCUUACCUACUCUUGACAUCCAGAGAAUUAGAGAUUGUGCCUUCGGGACUCUGAGACAGGUGCUGCAUGGCUGUCGUCAGCUCGUGUUGUGAAAUGUUGGGUUAAGUCCCGCAACGAGCGCAACCCUUAUCCUUAUUUGCCAGCCUAAUGGUGGGAACUUUAGGGAGACUGCCGGUGAUAAACCGGAGGAAGGUGGGGAGACGUCAAGUCAUCAUGGCCCUUACGAGUAGGGCUACACACGUGCUACAAUGGCGAGUACAGAGGGUU